rnacentral:lncRNA from 8 species
CCACUGCACUCUCGUCACUCAUAUAAACAUUGCCCUUUUAUUGAGGAGUCACAGUGAGAGGAAUGCUAAGUGAACCAAUAACUAACAGCUUGGAUGGACAUGCUUCUCCGUCUCCCUUGUUAUAGUUAGAGAAAUAGAGAGAGAAAGGAGAGAGAGAGGGGGGAGAGAGGGAAAGAGAGAAAAUAUGUGCAUGUGGUGUGUGUGUACAUGUGAGAGUGCGUGAGGAAAGAGAAAGAGAGAGGGGGAUGGAGAGGAAAAGAGAGAGAUAGGGAGUAUAUGUGUGAGAGGAAGGUAGGGGGAGCUUCCACAGUAUCAUCUGAUAGGAGAGGCAGAGCUCUGACAGCAGGUGUUAGAGCACUACGACUGAGUCAGACAGAGAGGUAGAGUGACAGAAGGAAAGAGAGAAAGUGGGAAGACAUUUGGUGGUGAGGGAUAGCGAAAGACGACUCUGUGAAGCAAGCAACUUAAAAGAGGGAGGGAGAAACUAAGAGCAGGUGAGAGACGGAGAGAGUGAGAAGGAGAGAAUAUAGGUGUCUCCAGCACUUUCCAUCAACGGUCUCCUGGCUAGGUUCUGCUGCAUAGAGCAGUGCUGAUCUUCCGCUUAUUUCUUCAUCCGAUGCUGGACCCUGCCUCUGCGCUCUGCUCUCUGCUCGCUGCUCGCUCUGCUCACACACUGAUGCCUAGAGUGUACUCCACACCCACCAGGGGAGGAGAGCGAGCCAAUUUGCAUUUUCUUAUCAGAGCCCAUGACCCAGCAGUACUGUGAGGAGGAAGGCUGUCCAGGUUUAAAAUGCUCUCCCUGACUGGAAGUUUCCACAGUCGGUGUGGGACACACAAACAAACACCCACACAUAGCAUUCAUGGUAGUGGCAUCUUAAUCAGUUGUGAUUGAAGGUUGGUGACCUCUUGUCCUCUUUGCCUGGGGCUAUUUUUGGACAGCUGUAUUAUGUAAUGGUUGCAUGACUCAUUCUCUGUUUCAGUUCCCCAGAUUAGCCCUGAACCAAGACAUUCCCUCUGUCUGCCAAUCACUCCUCCGUUAGAGUAUGUUAACUGAGGCACGCAUGGAUGACCACCAGCACCAAUCUGUCAGUUAAGCCAGUGUCACUAUUAAAUAAAAUAGAUUACAUAGUUCUAACUCAGAGGUGCGCAAAACCAUUGAUCUGGACUUGGUGUAUCAGUGUAUUUUUUAGAACAUUCAUCGUAUGGUAGGUGUCCCGGUAAUUGGUAUUGUGAUGUGACACAUAUAGGAUAGUAUUGGUGGUGUCAUCAGUCACACUGUGAGACCAUCAUCUCUUAUCUCUGUCAAACUCACCCUCUGUCAAACUCACCCUCUGUUAAAACUCACCCUCUGUAAAAACUCACCCUCUGUAAAAACUCACCCUCUGUUAAAACUCACCCUUAGUGAAAUGAUGAUGAUACACUCCCUGUAUGUGUGCAUUGUUAGGUGGCUUUUAAGCUGCCAUUGAUAGGCACGCGUACGCACGCACACAUUCUGCUCCCAUGAUCAGAGCCAUUAAGCAGGCUUUGUGUGUUCCUGGGGUGAGGUGACAGGUUUCAGGCUGAUCCUUCUAAUCGCUCCGUACCUUUAGUGACUCCCUGUGUAUUAGUGCCUGGGCUUUACCCAGCCGCUAUCUAAACCAGACUAAUACCUGAUGCCAACGUGUUGCGCUGUUGUUGUUUGGCAUAAAAGCGCAGCAAGGCCCUGCUUUUUAAUGGGACAGUAUAAUGACGGCCAUGCUUUUGGUUUAGAAAAGCUUUUGACAUGAGCUCUCUGUCUACUGUGUUUUCAUAUUGAAUCUAUGAAAUAAUUCUAGUAAAGGAGCGUUUCUGUCUAGGCCUGCCUAGGGUGACAUAGAAACUGACAACCACUUUCAGCCAUCUGAAAAUACUAUAGAGCCAAAAUGAAAGAAGCAGGCAAACAAAGAGCACCAUUAUUGCCGUAAUAGGGUCAACCUAUGUUAUAAGAACUACUGUUCAUAAACUCUCUUGGAUGUCCCCUGUUUACAUGUUUACAUAGGACUAUGUGAAUCACCAAUGCAUUCUAGCCAACUACUACUAUACUACCCAUGUUCACUUCUGGCAAGUUUCUUCCCUGCCCCCUAAUUUUGCCGAUGAAUGAAAUGGCCUAGAGAUUAGUAGAACAUAUUCUGUCCCAAAAAGAUCAGACUACAGCAAGUUUGCCAAUAAAACCAAAAGAGAUAUGCAUCAUUUUUCAUCAAGUGGUGAUUGAAUCCAUUAUACGAUUGAUUGGCAUUAUCUAAUGCAACAUUUACUAAUGUAAUGUUAAAGAAAACAGAUUACACAAUUAACUUUAUUUUACAGGAUGAUAUAUAAUGAUGCAUAAACCAAACAUGGGAUAACUUUAUGAAAUGUGAAGGUGUAGAGUGAAGAUGUCUCUGUUUCCACCCCUCUCUCUACCCUGGUGCACUGGAACAAUGAUGUAUUCUGGAUAGCUGAACUCCUGUAAAUAGUGAAAGGAUAUUUAGAUGUCUAUUGGACAGUUUUCCAACCAUAAAACUGUAAAACACUCACAAUGGGCAAUGAGUUUUUCUAAUCAGGUCACUAUAUUUAAAAAAUCUUCUGGACCCUAGUGAGGAUGAAUAGGGAGACAGAGAUAACAACUACAAUUGGACAAUAGAGAAAGAAUAGGGCUGAGCUUGCUUUAUGCAGGGUUGCAUCGUCUAGUAUGCACCUAUAAUUAAAAAGUUAUUCACAUAGUCUAUGUCAUCCCUAUGUUGAUAAAUUCAUUUCAGUCAAUAAUUUGGAAUGAAAAGGUCUAGGUAGCCUAACCAGCCGAAGCUUGGCUAAAAAGUAAAAUUGAUCACAUUCACAAUUUGUACCGACGCAAAUCAAUGGGCUUAUAUAGCUAAAUGCCUGAUGUAACGGCUUUGUUUUCCCGGGCCAGAGGUGACAGGGCGCAUAGGCUGUAGGCUACCUGUUGUUAAUCAGUAGCCUACAGUUUGUCAGACUGAAA